rnacentral:lncRNA from 1 species
AUUAUUAUAAUUUCUCCGGCAAUGGUGCCAAAAUAUUACUCUCGUUGUAUUUAAGUUUCAAUAUACCAAAGUAAUUGAAUUUAUAGAGGUGGGUUCAAAUAUGGAGAAAGACUGGUUAUAUGAAUAGGGUCUAUUAGUGUCACAAUUGAUUAUAUUCUAGCUAUUUAAAAUCAAUUAUUAAACUACAAAAUACCAAGGCUUAUUACUUUUGUCUUAAUUCAAUACAUAAUCUAUUCUACGAUUAUCAAUUCAACAAUACUUCCAUAUUCUUAUCAGUUCAUCUCCCACUUACUAUCUUUGCAAUUUAUAUAUAUUCAAUUACUGAUCUCCAACUUACUUAUUAUAUUCAAUUUCUCAAUUUUAUCACAUAGAAUUCAAUAACUUUACUUAACACAAUACAAUUCGAUAAUUUCAAAUCUCAAGGUCACAGAUUUUCUCCAAAAUGGUCAGUCUAAAGUAAUAUUUCAUAAUAUUCUAAUCACAAUUUCAACAAAUACUUCUCUCAAUCACAAUUCUUUAUAAGCAAAUAAUAAAAGCAAAGAAAAUAAAGAAGUAGUACCAAGCUUAUUCUGGCUUACGAUUCUUAUAGUCUGGCCCCCUAGCUUACGACUCUCAUAGUCUGGCUCCAAUCUCCCACUUCUCAACCUCUUUAUCCUACCAAAAGAUGGACCGUUGACCAGCAGAUUCCAAAAGAUAUGAUCCUUUGAAUUCUUAACUAUUUGUUCUACUAACAUCCUACUCUUACCAACUAAACUGCCUAAUCAUAAGUCU